UACGUAGGGGGCAAGCGUUGUCCGGAUUUAUUGGGCGUAAAGAGCGUGUAGGCGGCCUGAAAGGUCAGCUGUGAAAACUCGAGGCUCAACCUCGAGACGUCGGUUGAAACCAUCUGGCUAGAGUCCGGAAGAGGAGAGUGGAAUUCCCGGUGUAGCGGUGAAAUGCGCAGAUAUCGGGAAGAACACCCCGUGGCGAAGGCGGCUCUCUGGGACGGUACUGACGCUGAGACGCGAAAGCGUGGGGAGCGAACAGG
rnacentral:rRNA from 1 species